rfam:Candidatus Woesebacteria bacterium GWA1_42_12 gwa1_scaffold_3895, whole genome shotgun sequence.
CUUUUUGAGGGUUUGAUCCUGGCCCAGGAUGAACGCUAGCGGCGUGCUUUAAGCAUGCAAGUGGGACGGACCUCGCAAGAGGUCAGUCGCGAACGGCUGAGUACAAGAUAAGUAUCUACCCCUUGGCGGGGAAUACCUACUCGAAAGAGUAGCUAAUACCGCAUAAGACCGAAAGGUGAAAGCGCUUAACUGCGCUCCGAGGGAGGAGCUUAUCUCCCAUCAGCUAGUUGGUAGGGUAAUGGCCUACCAAGGCUACGACGGGUAGGGGACGUGAGAGCGUGACCCCCCAGAAUGGUACUGAGACACGGACCAUACACCUACGGGUGGCAGCAACUGGGAAUCGUGCGCAAUGGACGAAAGUCUGACGCCGCGACGCCGCGUGAGGGAUGAAGGCCUUCGGGUUGUAAACCUCUUUUGACGUAAGGGAGACCUUACGUAGAAUAAGCAUCCGCUAACUCUGUGCCAGCAGCUGCGGUAAUACAGAGGAUGCAAGCGUUAUCCGGAUUUAUUGGGCGUAAAGCGUUUCGUAGGCGGUAGGGAAAGUUAUCCUUCAAAGACCAGGGCUCAACCUUGGGAAGGGGGAUAAUACUUCCUUACUUGAAAGAUUUCGGGGUUUUCGGAACUCUCGGUGUAGGAGUGAAAUCCGUUGAUAUCGAGAGGAACACCAAGGGCGAAGGCAGAAAACUAGGAAUUUUUUGACGCUGAGGAACGACAGCUAGGGGAGCGAAAGGGAUUAGAGACCCCUGUAGUCCUAGCCGUAAACUAUGCUCGCUAACCCGUUUUUCGGAACGGGUGCAAGCUAACGCGUGAAGCGAGCCGCCUGGGGAGUACGGCCGCAAGGCUAAAACUCAAAGGAAUUGACGGGGACCUGCACAACCAGUGGAGCAUGUGGUUUAAUUCGAGACGAACCGAAGAACCUUACCCGGGUUUGACAUUCUACCGUUUUAGGUUUGUAGAAAUAUAGACCGAUUCUUAAGCAAUUAAGAAAGGUAGAACAGGUGUUGCAUGGCCGUCGUCAGCUCGUGCCGUGGGGUGUUCCCUUCAGUGGGGUAACGAGCGCAACCCCUGCCGUAUGUUGAAUAUUCAUACGGGACUUUCCGAGUUUUUCUCGGAAGGAAGUGGGGACGACGUCAGGUCAGCAUGGCCCUUAUGUCCGGGGCGACACACAUGCUACAAUGGAGCCGACAAUGGGUUGCCAAGCCGCAAGGCGGAGCUAAUCCCAUCAAACGGCUUCUCAGUAGGGAUUGGGGGCUGCAACUCGCCCCCAUGAACGCGGAAUUGGUAGUAAUCGGUAAUCAGCUAAGUACCGGUGAAUACGUUCUCAGGUCUUGUACACACCGCCCGUCAAGUUAGUGAAGUUGGGGGCAGCCGAAUCUCGAAUGUUUCGGGAGAAGCUGAAACCAGCGACAAG